rnacentral:rRNA from 2 species
ACGAACUCUGUGUAUUGAAUUGGUGCUUGCAUCAUGAUUUACAUUUGAGUGAGUGGCGAACUGGUGAGUAACACGUGGGAAACCUGCCCAGAAGCGGGGGAUAACACCUGGAAACAGAUGCUAAUACCGCAUAACAACUUGGACCGCAUGGUCCGAGCUUGAAAGAUGGCUUCGGCUAUCACUUUUGGAUGGUCCCGCGGCGUAUUAGCUAGAUGGUGGGGUAACGGCUCACCAUGGCAAUGAUACGUAGCCGACCUGAGAGGGUAAUCGGCCACAUUGGGACUGAGACACGGCCCAAACUCCUACGGGAGGCAGCAGUAGGGAAUCUUCCACAAUGGACGAAAGUCUGAUGGAGCAACGCCGCGUGAGUGAAGAAGGGUUUCGGCUCGUAAAACUCUGUUGUUAAAGAAGAACAUAUCUGAGAGUAACUGUUCAGGUAUUGACGGUAUUUAACCAGAAAGCCACGGCUAACUACGUGCCAGCAGCCGCGGUAAUACGUAGGUGGCAAGCGUUGUCCGGAUUUAUUGGGCGUAAAGCGAGCGCAGGCGGUUUUUUAAGUCUGAUGUGAAAGCCUUCGGCUCAACCGAAGAAGUGCAUCGGAAACUGGGAAACUUGAGUGCAGAAGAGGACAGUGGAACUCCAUGUGUAGCGGUGAAAUGCGUAGAUAUAUGGAAGAACACCAGUGGCGAAGGCGGCUGUCUGGUCUGUAACUGACGCUGAGGCUCGAAAGUAUGGGGUAGCAAACAGGAUUAGAUACCCUGGGUAGUCCAUACCGUAAACGAUGAAUGCUAAGUGUUGGAGGGUUUCCGCCCUUCAGUGCUGCAGCUAACGCAUUAAGCAUUCCGCCUGGGGAGUACGGCCGCAAGGCUGAAAACUCAAAGGAAUUGACGGGGGCCCGCACAAGCGGUGGAGCAUGUGGUUUAAUUCGAAGCUACGCGAAGAACCUUACCAGGUCUUGACAUACUAUGCAAAUCUAAGAGAUUAGACGUUCCCUUCGGGGACAUGGAUACAGGUGGUGCAUGGUUGUCGUCAGCUCGUGUCGUGAGAUGUUGGGUUAAGUCCCGCAACGAGCGCAACCCUUAUUAUCAGUUGCCAGCAUUAAGUUGGGCACUCUGGUGAGACUGCCGGUGACAAACCGGAGGAAGGUGGGGAUGACGUCAAAUCAUCAUGCCCCUUAUGACCUGGGCUACACACGUGCUACAAUGGAUGGUACAACGAGUUGCGAACUCGCGAGAGUAAGCUAAUCUCUUAAAGCCAUUCUCAGUUCGGAUUGUAGGCUGCAACUCGCCUACAUGAAGUCGGAAUCGCUAGUAAUCGCGGAUCAGCAUGCCGCGGUGAAUACGUUCCCGGGCCUUGUACACACCGCCCGUCACACCAUGAGAGUUUGUAACAUAAGGGGGUCGGUGGGGUAACCUUU